UACGUAGGGUGCGAGCGUUGUCCGGAAUUAUUGGGCGUAAAGAGCUCGUAGGCGGUUUGUUGCGUCUAUCGUGAAAACCUGCAGCUUAACUGUGGGCUUGCGGUGGAUACGGGCAGACUUGAGUUCGGUAGGGGAGACUGGAAUUCCUGGUGUAGCGGUGAAAUGCGCAGAUAUCAGGAGGAACACCGGUGGCGAAGGCGGCUCACUGGUCCGGUACUGAUGCUGAGGUGCGAAAGCGUGGGGAGCAAACAGG
rnacentral:rRNA from 1 species